AAGCUCGAAAAGUGUGGGGUUUCAAACAGGAAUUAGAUACCCUGGUAGUUCCACACGGGUAAACGAUGAAUACUCGCUGUUUGCGAUAUACGGGCAAGCGGCCAAGCGAAAAGCGUUAAGUAUUCCACCUGGGGAGUACGCCGGCAACGGUGAAAACUCAAAGGAAUUGACGGGGGCCCGCACAAGCGGAGGAACAUGUGGUUUAAUUCGAAUGAUACGCGAGGAACCUUACCCGGGCUUGAAUUGCAGAGGAAGGAUUUGGAGACAAUGACGCCCUUCGGGGUCUCUGUGAAGGUGCUGCAUGGUUGUCGUCAGCUCGUGCCGUGAGGUGUCGGCUUAAGUGCCAUAACGAGCGCAACCCCUCUCCUUAGUUGCCAUCAGGUGAAGCUGGGCACUCUGGGGACACUGCCACCGUAAGGUGUGAGGAAGGUGGGGAUGACGUCAAAUCAGCACGGCCCUUACGUCCGGGGCUACACACGUGUUACAAUGGCAGGUACAGAGAGAUGGUGUUCUGCAAAGCGCAUCUAAUCCUUAAAGCCUGUCUCAGUUCGGACUGGGGUCUGCAACCCGACCCCACGAAGCUGGAUUCGCUAGUAAUCGCGCAUCAGCCAUGGCUCGGUGAAUACGUUCCCGGGCCUUGUACACACCGCCCGUCAAGCCAUGAAAGCCGGGGGCGCCUAAAGUCCGUGACCGUAAGGAGCGGCAUAGGGGGAAACUGGUAAUUGGGGUAAGUCGUAACAAAA
rnacentral:rRNA from 1 species